rnacentral:lncRNA from 1 species
UUCAAUGUUUGUUGUUGGAACUAUUUUAGCCUUCCAGCUCUAUAACAAUAGGCCCAGGAGACUAAUAAGUUGAGUUGGAUGAGCCUAAUAAGUUAAAGGGAGGUGGUCCAUAAAAAACCUAACAGUAAGAAACAAUAGACCCGAUGUCUAGAUGGGUUGAGUUAGGUCGAAGCCCGUGAAUGUUGUGGCUAAGUCCUGAAGUGCGAUGAAUGCGUCUUUUCUAUCAGUACGUAUUUUUAGAAUAGUUGGUUAGUGCUUACAAUCUACAUUUGUUUCUAUGGGCUUAACUAGCAUAUUUUUUAUAAUUCAU